UACAGAGGGUGCGAGCGUUAAUCGGAAUUACUGGGCGUAAAGCGCGCGUAGGCGGCUUUGCAAGUCGGGUGUGAAAUCCCCAGGCUUAACCUGGGAACUGCAUUCGAGACUGCAUUGCUAGAGUAUGGGAGAGGGAAGUGGAAUUUCCGGUGUAGCGGUGAAAUGCGUAGAUAUCGGAAGGAACAUCAGUGGCGAAAGCGACUUCCUGGACCAAUACUGACGAUCAGGUGCGAAAGCGUGGGGAGCAAACAGG
rnacentral:rRNA from 1 species